rnacentral:rRNA from 1 species
GAUGAAUGCUGGCGGCGUGCCUAAUACAUGCAAGUCGAGCGGUAACAGGAGUAGUUUACUACUUGCUGACGAGCGGCGGACGGCUGAGUAACGCGUGGGAACAUGCCCCAAAGUGAGGGAUAAGCACCGGAAACGGUGUCUAAUACCGCAUAUGGUCUUCGGAUUAAAGGAUUUAUCCGCUUUGGGAGUGGCCCGCGUAC